rnacentral:lncRNA from 1 species
UCUCUCCCUCCUUCCCUCCCUCCCUCUUUCCCUCCCUCCUCCUCUUCCCCUCCCCUCCCUUUCCUGUCUGACACAGCUGAGCUUUUCCUGGAGCCAAUUCCUGCAAACAAAUUCUCUACCAGACCAUCAAUUGUGGGGUGGGAAGGGGAAGAAAGAGGAGUUUGUGAAGGGUUGGGGCCAAACCACUGAAGCUUCCUGUGCCAGGACAGUGUCCGUGUGCUCCAGGCUGCCUCUGAACCUGGACCCAGAUGAAUCUAAGCCAAAGACCUGUGAAGACCAUAGAGAUGCCUGUACUGGUCACACGGAAGCACAAUUUUAAAGAACCGUUUCAGAGUCCAACUGCCAGGUUCAUUCUAGCACUUUCAUUUAUGAGCUAUGAAGACUGAAAUCAGGAUACUACAUUUCCUGGAGGAUGCUCCUCUCAAUAUCAAUGCAUCCAAGUCUCACUUGUGUGAUUCUGAUCUCUUCUCUGAAUCUGACUCUCUCACCAGGACUCCUGAUAUGACAUUAAACUAUGUAAAUAAUGUAGGCCAAUAUUCCAUCCAAGAGCUGCUCACAAAGAUAUCUGCAACCCCAUCUGGCCUUGAAAGGUAGCAAAUUAACGGAACAGCAAAUUAACUCAGAAGAGUUUUUUGUAAGAAAGAUGGAUGGGGAAGAGCUAAUACAAUGGGCGAGGACAUCAAGGGCACAGUUUGGUUCCAAACAGAAAUCUUAAUAAUGGUAACAGAAGAAUAAAAAUAUUAGGAGUUUCU